rnacentral:rRNA from 1 species
CAGCCGCCGCGGUAAUACGUAGGUCCCGAGCGUUGUCCGGAUUUAUUGGGCGUAAAGCGAGCGCAGGCGGUUAGAUAAGUCUGAAGUUAAAGGCUGUGGCUUAACCAUAGUACGCUUUGGAAACUGUUUAACUUGAGUGCAAGAGGGGAGAGUGGAAUUCCAUGUGUAGCGGUGAAACGCGUAGAUAUAUGGAGGAACACCGGUGGCGAAAGCGGCUCUCUGGCUUGUAACUGACGCUGAGGCUCGAAAGCGUGGGGAGCAAACAGGAUUAGAUACCCGCGUAGUCCCUGUCUCUUAUACC